UUCUCUCUUGAAUGUAUCCUGAGUACGGCGGAACACGUGAAAUUCCGUCGGAAUCUGGGAGGACCAUCUCCCAAGGCUAAAUACUCCCUAGUGACCGAUAGUGAACCAGUACCGUGAGGGAAAGGUGAAAAGCACCCCGGAAGGGGAGUGAAACAGAUCCUGAAACCGUGUGCCUACAAGUAGUCAAAGCCCUAUGACCUUCGGGUCAGGGUAAUGGCGUGCCUUUUGUAGAAUGAACCGGCGAGUUACGAUCUGAUGCAAGGUUAAGCAGGAGAUGUGGAGCCGUAGCGAA
rnacentral:rRNA from 1 species